UUAGAUCGCGUGAUUCGCGAUCCCGGACGACGGAUCAGUACCCGGAGCGCGACAAGACUGGCCACG
rnacentral:ncRNA from 1 species